rnacentral:lncRNA from 1 species
ACUCACAAAAUGCUUUUGACAUAUUGCAGAUUGAAGGGAGAAUUGAUCGCAACUGUGCUAAGACAUGGACCAAGCCACCUGCAAGAAUUCUUAAAUGUAUUAUUGAUGCUGCUACUUUUUAUGCUGAGGAGGCUACGGCAUGGGUUGGAGUGGUCAGAGACUCGUCUGGUACCUCCGUAUGGUGCUGCUCUAGUUUUUGGGCAGGCUAUAAGGACCCGAUGGUGGCCGAAGGAGGUGCUGUCUUGGCUCAAGUGGAUGGGGCUUGAUAAAAUUAUCAUUGAGUCUAAUUGCCCAC